CCUACGGGAGGCAGCAGUAGGGAAUAUUGCUCAAUGGGGGAAACCCUGAAGCAGCAACGCCGCGUGGAGGAUGAAGGUUUUCGGAUUGUAAACUCCUUUUGUUAGAGAAGAUAAUGACGGUAUCUAACGAAUAAGCACCGGCUAACUCCGUGCCAGCAGCCGCGGUAAUACGGAGGGUGCAAGCGUUACUCGGAAUCACUGGGCGUAAAGAGCGCGUAGGCGGGAUAGCAAGUCAGAUGUGAAAUCCUAUGGCUUAACCAUAGAACUGCAGUUGAAACUGUUAGUCUAGAGUAUGGGAGAGGUAGGUGGAAUUCUUGGUGUAGGGGUAAAAUCCGUAGAGAUCAAGAAGAAUACCAGUGGCGAAGGCAGCCUGCUGGACGGUGACUGACGCUGAGGCUCGAAAGCGUGGGGAGCAAACAGGAUUAGAUACCCCUGUAGUC
rnacentral:rRNA from 1 species